rnacentral:lncRNA from 1 species
UUUCAGGGUGGAGAGUCAAUGUUCGAUGGUGACUCAAGGCUCGAUGAAUAUCUUUUAUAAUGAUCUCCAUCGAUCCUCUGUUUUCUUCAGUCAUUAGAGACUAGCUAGGAGAAUUAUUUAUAAGAUGGUAUAUAUAUUGAAGAGAGGAACAGAGGUAUUAGGAGGUUCGUAAUAUUUUUCUUUAGAUUUAUCAAAAUAAUUUAGUUUUUGACGAUUAUGAUAUCGCUAAUGGGUUUGUUUUUUGUAUUAUGUGUAGCAAAAUUCAGAAACGACCACUGACUGAGUCGCCUCAGCCCUCAGAAUACUUAAAUAUUACAG